GGCGGGGUAGCUCAGCUGGUUAGAGCGUCGGAAUCAUAAUCCGCAGGUCGAGGGUUCGAAUCCCCCCCCCGCUACUA
rnacentral:tRNA from 1 species